rnacentral:lncRNA from 1 species
GUUCCAGUUCAACGAGUCAUGAUGGCAAAUUUAGAUAUGAUUAUUUAAAGGUGUCGAGGCAGAAUAAUACCAACAAAAACUUUGCUUAACUACUUCCAUAACAGGACAAUGGUGGCUGUGGUAGUUAUAUAUAUAGGUUGUCCCCAUGAUAAGUUAUAACUGAUCGAUGUAAUUAAAUAAAUGCAUAGUUUUCCUAUAAUUGCAGACAAAUCUGCUCUAGUUUUGUUAUAAAAUGAGACAAAAUCUGUUACUUGCCAGGAAAAAAAGGUGACAUUAGCUCAGUGUGCUGUCUGCAGAGGUAACAAAUUAUGCAUCAAACUGCUGCAUUACUAUUGUCAGAAUUUACAGUGAAGUUUUAAAAUAAAUGUCAUGAAUCUGACAAAUCUACAUUUCAAAAUAUUUAAGUCAUUGAUAACUAAUUAACAUAAAUCUGACAUUUUAAGUUUAUCUAAAAUUGUUUUAAAAAUUCACAUCAGUAAUAGCACUUUUGAAU